GAUGAACGCUGGCGGCGUGCCUAACACAUGCAAGUCGAGCGAACACACGAGGACCUUGCUCCUCUGGCGUUGGCAGCGGACGGGUGAUUCACACGUGGUUGACCUACCUAUAAGAAUGGGGUAACUUCAGGAAACCGGAUCUAAGACCCGAUAAUAUAUUGAACUGGGUGGUUCACUAGUUGAAGUCGGUUCUGCGUUGGCUAAUAGAUGGAUCCGGGCCGGAUUCGUUAGUUGGUAAGGUAACGGCUUACCAAGGCUACGAUGGGUAGACGACCUGAGAGGGAGAUCGGCCACACUGGAACUGAGACACGGCCCCGACUCCUACGGGAGGCAGCAGUAGGGAAUCUUCCGCAAUGGGGGAAAGCCUGACGGAGCAACGCCGCGUGAAGGAUGAAGGUCUUCGGAUCGUAAAAUGCUGUUGUCCGGAAAGAACAAAUGCUUAAUUAACUAUGCAGAUAAUGACGGUACCGAAAGAAUAAGCCCCGGCUAACUACGUG
rnacentral:rRNA from 1 species